AUGAAUUGGGACACAGCCAUAGUCACCUGUGACCCCCACGUGACACCGGGAAGGCUAUAUCUUCCGGUGUCAUUAGAGGAUCUGUUCCUUACAUCUUCUCGCUGCGCAGGUCGCCCCCCCCUGGUCUAGUCCUCCCCCCGGCUUCCUGCUUCUGCCUUAAUGGCUUGUAUAUUCUGGAGAACAGCAUUCGUAGAGACCGGCUGGCAGAGAUUCUGGAACGACGGGGAAAGGAAUACAAGAAACACCAUGCCAGGAACGCAUCGCCACUAGUACCAGGGGCAUUGGAUUCAGAUGAGAAAGGGGAUAAGCUCGAGUUUGAAUACACUCCUCUUAGCUCCAUCCAACUCUCCACUGCAGUAUCCCAUUCAGGGUUUCACAGUUCGCCCCAUGGUCCCCACUCUCAUUCCAGUUGCCUUAUUAGGUCCUCCACAGUCGCCCCAUCAGUCCCUGGCAGUCUGGUCCCUGGAGCAGCUGGCCCUGGCAAAAGUUAUUCCUUCACUGUUGACCCCUGACUGACUGGCCCUCGGCACACAAAUCCCUGGAUCACCCGCCACUGGAUCACCUGCCCCUGAAUCACCUGCCCCUGGCAAUGUGGCCUCUUGAUUGCUCUCUCUGUCUCCUGUGAUGUCCUUUUCAACGCUCUUGAAAUCCACCUAAAUUUCUCCCUCAAUCUCUGUAACAAUUACAAGGUAAUGUUGCUGUUAUAUGUAUUUUGCCUUUGCAUUUGCAACUACUGUCAUCUCCAAUGUAAGAAAAUGAAUUAAAGCAAAACAUUUCUGUAAUGUGAAUUAAAUCAUCUGCCACAAUCAGAAACCAAUACAAUUUAUAAAAUGGAUCUACCGGCAAUUGUUAAUUGGGUAGAAAUGUGUCGAUUAUCUACAUUGUGUGCAAAUCCUCAGAGAAUCCCUGCCUUCUGGUUGUUUUUUAAACUGAAUGUACAAAUAUGAAUUAUGUAAUCUCAUUAGGAGUGUAGUCUAUCCUUGAAUUACAUGAAAUGGGGAAUAUUGUUAGCUGCAUGGAUCAUACCGAAGUUUAAUUUGGCGCAAUAUGUGUGGUCCGUUGCACUUGGUUCCGGAGGCACCCUCACAGAAGGGGGUUUCCUCCUCUUCGGUUUAGGUCGAUGGAUGAAAACUGUUGGGCCUGCAUCGGGCCUCAACUUCAACAUCCUAUCUACUUUUGAGGCUUUGAAUUGGUCAUUUUCAAAGUCCUGGUAGGCUUGUAAGAUCAGUUUCCAUUGCACUUCAAAUAUCAUUGGAAAGUCAUAAUUCUCUACACUUAGAAUUAUUAUGCCCUUUGAAAUGCUAACAAGUGAUCUGAACAUUACGUUACAUCGUUUUUGACUGUUGCUGACUGUCAAUAAGUUUUGACGGCUGACCAUUGCCAUCCAUUUCUCCCUGCGCUCUUGGUCCUUGGGGAAGCCGUGAUAACCCUUCUCGGACCGAUUGGAGCAUCCAAAUGCUGCACAGCCAACCAUGGUAUGACCAUUGAUCUAUAAAAUGUUAGUUGUAACCAAUGAACCAUGACACCAUUGAAGAUCACAGAGCGGGUAACAACUGUUCCUCAACCACUCAUGCCCCGACUUUUGAGAAUAGAUUAGAGGUCAGAGUUCAUGACCAAACGAAGAUCCUCCCUCCUAAACCCAUUUUGACUUUGCUCAGGGCUAUUCUAAGUAUUGUAAUGGCAUAAAGUAUAGUAUAUUUGCAACGUUAUAUGUUAAUGGUUUGCCCUAUAGUGUUCCCUGCU
ensembl:lncRNA